GACGAACCGUGCGACCGUUGUUCGGAAUCACUGGGCUUAAAGGGCGCGUAGGCGGCCCGCCGCGUCCGGGGUGAAAUCCUCCCGCUCAACGGGAGAACGGCCUCGGGUACGGGCGGGCUGGAGGCGGGUAGGGGCAGGCGGAACUGUGGGUGGAGCGGUGAAAUGCGUUGAGAUCCACAGGAACUCCGGUGGCGAAGGCGGCCUGCUGGACCCGAUCUGACGCUGAGGCGCGAAAGCCAGGGGAGCGAACGGG
rnacentral:rRNA from 1 species